rnacentral:tRNA from 1 species
GCUCCUGUGGCGCAAUGGUAGCGCGUAAGACUUGUAAUCUUAAGGUUGUGGGUUCGACCCCCACCAGGAGUU